CGUUGACGCUAUCUGGAACAGGAAUAGCGUGAGUCUGCGACGUCUGCGCCACAUGGCAAGACUGGCUUCUCACCGAAAUCGUGACGAUGGAGACCACCAGACAACGAUGUUGGGGGUUACAUGUAGUCCUGCAACCUGGCGCGACUGAGUCCUCAAGAAAGGACAACAGCUGCUCUCUCUGCUGCAAAGAUCCACCAAGUGGUGACACAUGAUACACACAUCAUGGCCACUGUGGACAAGUUCAGAGAGCUGCGACACCAGAUUCUCCACUGUUGGGGCCAUUUUGCUGAGGGCUGGUACGUUUUAGGGUGAUGGCAGUGACUAUAGCCGAUUAUAGAGAAGGGGACCACGACUGUUGUCUGAGUUGGUAACCCAGGUACAAACUAAAUGUCAUAUCGAAAUUGUAUCAUUGAAGAAAUGUAGCUGCUUCGUUGACACACGCCAAUCAUGUGACAAUAACAACGAUGGCUGAAAGAAUGCAUGGAUGUCAACAUCAGCCUGAACAGGGACAGCUAGAAUACCAUCUGUGGGACCUGGUUUCAGGUGUCGAAGCUACCAAGUCACUGCUGGCUGGCAAGAUGAUACUCUUUCUGGUUCUGGCAUGGUUAUCACACCCUGUAAUGAUGGACCUGGAGCUGGAACCACCGUCCAUGUACUACACUUCAAGGAAGUUGGUGGACCAGCAGCUGCUCACUGACAGGGUUAUGCAAACCUAUCCAAAAUCCAAUGUGCUGGCUGGUUGCACACAGCUGCAACUUCAGCAAUGUUGGAACGUGUAGACACUUUUCAGUUGGGGUGAUCGACUGAUCACUAUUAACAGCUUGCUGCACAACUGUAAGUGUCUGUUGGUACUGCUGACACACUCUGUUUGAUGUCCUCCCUCAUGGUGUAACAAUCAAGUCUGAAGUGCACUGUUCUACCCUCAGGAAAGUGAAGAAACGACUUCAGCGUGUUUACCACCACAACAAUGCAAUCAAACUUAUUCUUCAUGACAAUGCAAGGCCUUACACAAGUUUGCAUAACAUAUAGGAGCUGAUAUGACUUCAUUGGACUGUUCUUCCUCAUCCACCCUGCAGCCCAGACCAAGUACCUUCUGAUUUCCAACUGUUUGGCCCAAUGAAGGAUGCACUCCACAGCAAACAGUAUGUGGAUGAUAGGGACGUUACUGACGCAGUAAGAUGGCGGAUCCUACAUUGACCGGUAGUGUAGUACCAUGCAUGAUGCUGACCUUCCCAGUAAGAUGGCGUAAGGCUGUCACAUUGCACAGAAAUUAUGUUUAAAAAUAAGGUUUUGUAGCCAAAGAGCAGGGAAUAAUAUGGUGUAUUGGAAUCUUGAAUAAAACCAAGCCGCUCUCAGAAAAAAAGUGUUGUUUUAUGUACUGAACAUCCCUUGUACAUCACUGCGCGGUAAAUUGUGUAGUGUGAGGCUGUGCCGCCUUUCACCUUUCUGUUAGUGAAAAAGAAUUACAACACUAGGUACAAACUUAAUACAAUGUCAGACAGAGAUGUGUUGUGAAUAUUGAAGCUAAAGUUGCAAAUGCACAUCUGACAGAAAUUUGUCGCAGUUUCAGAUGUGAAUUUGUAGGAAUUUUUAUCCAUCUAGGAUGAAAGAGACUUAAUCGAAGAGGAUGUGGGAUAUAACCGUGGCUAGAAAUUCAUAAUAGCCAUAUUCAGUGCCAAAACUCACCACAGAAUAUCCAGGCUAAUCGGAACUGGUGGGGUGCAGAGCCUAACAGAGAUAUAGUGGAGGACAUAAAUCAGUCGUCUACAUCCAUUCAUGAAAACGAACCAAGACUGUAUAGGCCCUGUAACGGAAGAGGACAGAUAAAGAUACCAACAUUAGGGAUGAUUUGUGCUUUGUUAUACGAGGCACAUGACUAUGGUAUAAUAUAGCAUGAACCUGUAUGUAGAUAAUACCGUAACAAAAGUUAUUUGGAAACGGGGAGUUGUGAAGGUGAGCCAGAGAUUGAUGUACCUGUCUUACCGGUUAGUAACUGCAGAAUAUUGAGAGCAUUAGGCACUAGGGCUUGGAAAGUAGUGUCAAGGUUGCCUUCCAAUGAGGCUAGUAAAUAUGAAGAUUCCAUGCACGAUCCUGCUGGUAAAUUCACAUGAGUGUGGACUGCAUAAUAUAUAGGAGUGCAACAGUCAACGUUUCUCAGGGGAAAUGCCAGUUCGUGAUUAAUAGUAUAAAGGUAGAGAUAGAUUUUUUAAAAUGAACGUAGAACAUGGCAAAUACUAUCAAAGCCUGAAAAUCGAAAUGUUAGGCAGAGAAUUGAAAUGCAUCGUUAAGGGAGAACGACAGGGUGACUCUCAGAAAAAACUCGAAAUUUUUUAGUUAUGGAAUUUAAAUGUAUGUACAUUGAAACAUUAUUCUCCAAAAUAUUAUGUGCGAACUCCAAAAUUUAACGAUUCUGUGAGCGUUUGAAGCUAAAGCAAACGGUGAAUUUCAAAGUUAUAAACACGAAACGCCAUUGCCACAGUCGUUAUCGAUGCCAUCACCCCUAUUUAUACCGAUUUGAGUAGACCUGAUUUGCUGGAGCUUUGUUUGAACAGUUUUACUCAAAAUGUGAACGAAUGUUUCAGUAGUAUCACUUGAAGACACACUCCGAAAAUAGCGUCCAGCCGUAGCGGAAUUGUCUACAUUGCUUCACAUUUGGCCUCUGUCUAUUCAAUGUGGGCCGUACUGCAUUAACGCACAUGUUGAAUGCCCUUCAGAUCAAAAUCGGCGAUGAAAUGCACCGAUUCUGCGAUCCGCUCAGUGAUGAAAAGGGCUCUGAGGACGAAAAUGAGGCCUUAUUAUGUCAAAGUAGCAGAAAG